GUCUCCUCCGCCCCCAAGGAGGACGCUUUCGUGUUCCUCAGCUCGGAAAGUGUUGCGGAAACUGGUGUCACCUUAGGCAAUGAAGGCGUGGAGGAAAAAACCCGGUUCUCUGGCAGUGAGGAGUUCGGGGCUGUGCGGUUUCUGUAACUCCUCGGAGUUACUUUUAUUUGAAAGCUUGCAAAAAAUGUCCUGAGUGCACAUCAUGGCAAGCGUAACAACCCGGCGGUGUUCAGGGCUCUUCUAAACCGCAGGAUUCCAGCAGGCAAAUGUUCUUCCUCUCCCAGAAGUGCCUCCUGAUGAGUCGUCUUGGAACUCGUCCCUCCUCCAUGAAGUGACUGAAAUAUUUAUUGGGCAACUUAAGCAGAAGCAGUACACACAUGCUACUCGGCUCUGUCUGCUUGACAGGAUAUAUAAGUAGGAUUAUCAGUUUAAUAAUGAGCAAGGAAAACCGGUGUCAGAGGAAGGACAGCUGGUGAAAGGUGAACCCAAAUAAUGCCAUUGCUGUGUGUGUGGAAGGAGUGCUUGCACACGUAGAACUUCCUUCAUAAUGCCAGGCUCUUUGAACAUACUGUCAUGUUUAUCUUUGUUGGCUUCUUCUGAACUGCUUCUGGAGCCCCCAGUAUAAACAAAUCACUGAUGUAACAGUAGCGAACUCAGAUCUAAGACAGCUUUGGCAUAAGGUUUUGCACCAUAAAAUCCACUGAGACUGUUACAGGCUAUUGAUACAGCAACAUGUAUCUCUGUGAAUGCAUCAACUUUUUGUAUUGUUUUCAAAUUGUACUGUAAAUCAGAGGUAUACAUAAUUUUGACAGUGCUGGUACUUUUUUAUGCUAACUUCAGUUAGGACCAGGAUUUCAACACCCCUCUUCAAGUUGCUAUUUGGAGAAGUUCCAUGGAAUUGGCCUAAGUAAUUUAGCCUCCAUCAGUUUUCCUCUGAUUAUGUCUUGUCACUUCUCCAGAAACAGUGAAACUACCCAAGCAGAGGAAGUUUGUGGCUAGGAGUUACUGAGACCACAUUUGGACACAAUAUCUCAUUCCUAAAGGGACAAUAAGUGACCUCGGUCUUAGAGAUCCACAACCAAAAAUAAAUUUAGACUAUUUAUGGCUCUCCAUACACUCAGAAACCUCACAGUUGUAUCCCACUCAGUUAAAAAUUCUGCUUAUUAUUUGUGUCCAUAAGCAUAAAUGGGAGAGAGAAGUGAUGGGACAACAUAUUUUUGUAAUUGUUUGUUGUUUUUUAAUUGCUUGGGAGCGACUUGACACCUUUACAAUGAGGAGCUUAGAGCACUGUGGUAGAUAAUAUCUGAGCACCUCCCAAAGAUUUGGAAAUUGAAAUCAAAAUAUUAUCUCUUUUCCUUUCCAACCUGAAGAAAACAAGUUUGAUUAGUUUACAACUCAUUUGUUUUUGUUUGUGUGCCUGGGUGUGCUUGCAAGUGAAAGGAGAAAGGAGAACGUAUCCAAAGAGAGUCUCAUGCAAAGAUAGAAGUCCUAUAUUUAGCAAAGUGGCAAACCUAAACAACAUUCUUUUCUCUUGUGAAAAGUUCUUCCCGGGUCUGGAUUCAGCUCCUGUGAAAACCCUGCAUCUUGCAUUCGCAAGCUCCCAAAAGCCUGAGUGUAUCAUGCAUCCAGCCAUCCUGGAAGGACAGACAAGCUGACAGGGCUGUUUCUCUCUCUCUGUGACUGUACAGUGCUGAAAACCUCACCGCAGCGUGACCUCUUUAAUUUAUGACAUAAAUCCCUUUCCUGCAACGGUAUCAGUGCUACUCCAUGUGGUGCCUCCCACCCCAUAAUGCCUGCAGUCUCACUUUGACAGGGCUGCUGGCAUCCAUGCCAGUCCUCCAUGCUUCAUACUCUUGCAAACAAUUAGGAAGGCUGUGGUUUGGGGGACAACUGCUAAUUGGAUGUGCCUUCAGAUUUAAAACGGGUGUUUUGGCUGGAUUUCAGGUCUAUUAGAAAUCAACCCUUCUGAGGCACAAAACUGGUGAGGCACAAAGUUGAGCACAGGCUAAUAAACUACCAGGCUCAUUAUCAAGGAUUUGAGGGCAUAUCUGGAAGCAGCAACAACAGCAACAAAAAGAACCAGCAACCAUCAUCUGGGAAGUGAAGGGAGCUGAUGGAUGAAAGCUGCAGAGAGGGAAAAAUUCAAAAUAGGGCAGGGCUGGUGCAACAGAGAUGGAACUGCUGAAGGGAAUGGUAAGAGGGACAGUGGUGGGGCAAGGAUCUGAGUAAGGUUGGGAAAUGGUCUUUCAGUGUUGUAUAAAUUAUUUGGAAACAUGGUACAAUCCAGAUAUUUCCCAUGACUUAUUUCAAGGAUCACCACAGUUUCAUUUGCUGUUAAGGGUUAUAGUAUUUUCCCCAACAAUUAAGGAAAGGUGAUAUUUAUGUCAGCCCCGGGAAUUUAGCUUGUGUUUGAGUUAGAGACACAAGAUAUCGAAUAGACUGCAGAAACAGAAAACGUUAACUCUUUGGCUUCCCAAAUAAAACUAGCUAUGACAUAUGCUCAUGUCCAUGGUCUCUUCAGACCUUAGAGUUAAUUUCUGGUGCACCUCUGGCAAUGUGGAUCCCCAGAGCAGCUGCACGGCUAGAGCCAGGCCACUCACUGUGUACAGGUUACUGGUGAACUUCUGAGUAGCCUAAUUUUGCCCAGUCUAAUAGAACUUAGCCCAUUUAGCUGCAGUAUAGUACUUUCAAAACCAUUUUCAAAGAGUUUGGCAAAGAUUUACCCAAUGUUGCUUUUCUGUGCAAGACAUUUAGAGUCGUACUUCAGCUUGACUAUAAUAAGAAUUCAAUGUCAUUGGCAUCACCAUAGCAACAUAAUAAAAUAAUUUUCUGGACAAUAUUUUGUUCUUGUUUGUUCACCUUUAAGAAGAUAAACACAAAGAAAUUGGGAGGGAAGUGACACUUAUUAGUGGCCCAGUGAAAAAAUUAGCCCAGGCUUAUGGAUCCUGUUAGUCAUUUGUUCUGCCAACUGGACCAGGAAGCCUGCAGAGGUGUGUGAAGUGGCCAGAUUACAUUUUGGAGGAGAAGGAGGAGACAUGACCAUUGAGGACUGCUGGAACAGAGCAAAAUAGCCACAACACACAACAGAGUUGGGCUCCUUUUUUAACUGAUAUCCCUUUCCUCUGUUCAGUUUGUGUAUUUACACCCGCAGUGUUCCUCUUGCCCACACGUAACGUGAUGACCUGCCAGAUUUUACUUGUCUUGUAUCCAAUUUGUAUGAAAUUGUGUUUCUGAUCCUUCAGACUUACAGUGCUCAGCGCCUGCCUUUCCUCAUGAUCAUUAUUCCAAGCUCAGUGCAUUCCUGUUUCAAAUACAUUGUGGCAUGGUGGCA